rnacentral:misc_RNA from 1 species
CGCACCUUGCGCCUUUUGGUAUUCCGAAAGGCACACCUGUUUGAGCGUCAUGAACUCUCAACAACAACAUUUCUUUAUUGAGGUGCUGAAGUUGGAUGUUGAGCGCUGCUGUACUAGUGACAGCUCGCUUUAAAUAGAUCAGCCAACUCUGUACUACUCGGAUUGACUCGGCGUGAUAACAUCUUCGUCGAGGACGCUUUACGGCGGCCGAAUUGUAUAAGGGGAGCUUCUAACCCGCCUCUGGCAUUCAUACCUAUUGUCCUCAAAUCAGGUGGGACUACCCGCUGAACUUAA